GACAAUAUGGCCGAGCGGUUAAGGCGAUAGAUUAGAAAUCUAUUGGGAUUUCCCGCGCAAGUUCAAAUCUUGCUAUUGUCG